GCUGGACCUGGUGGCCCGUGCCUGUAGUCCCAGCCACUCGGGAGGCUGAGGUGGGAUGGAUCGGGAGGAUCGCUUGAGCCCAGUUCUGGGCUGUAGUGCGCUAUGGCGAUCGGGUGUCCGCACUAAGUUCCGCAUCGAUAUGGUGACCUCCUGGGAGUCGGGGACUACCAGGUUGCCUAAAGACAAGUGAACUGAUCCAGGUCAGAAACAGAGCAGGUCAAAACUCCCACACUGAUCAGUAGUGGGAUCGCGCCUGUGAAUAGCCACUGAACCCCAGCCUGGACAACACAAUGAGACCCUGCCU
rnacentral:SRP_RNA from 1 species